rnacentral:rRNA from 1 species
UACGUAGGAGACGAGCGUUGUCCGGAGUUACUGGGCGUAAAGCGCUCGUAGGCGGGACUGCAAGUCCGUGUUGAAAGACCUCGGCUCAACUCGAGGGACCGGCUCGGAUACUGUGGUUCUUGGAGGCAAUCAGAGGGUGAUGGAAUUCCCGGUGUAGCGGUGAAAUGGCGUAGAUAUCGGGAGGAACACCAGUGGCGAAGGCGAUCACCUGGGGUUGUUCUGACGCUGAGGAGGCGAAAGCUAGGGAGCAACGGG